rnacentral:lncRNA from 1 species
UUUAUCCUCAUAUUUACCCUUGUAAACUUUGAUAACCUCUCUACAAAGUGAAGUACAAGACUGUUUCAUCACCAACAUAUUCUUCGAUUUGUUCAGCCAUUCCCCAAUUGAUGGACAUCCUCUUCAUUUCCAAUUCUUUACCAUGACAAAAAGAGCUUCUAUUAAUAUGUUUUGUACAGAAAAAGAGAGAAGACGGGAAGAAGAAACAGGUCAACUUUUCUUCAAAAGGGCUAGGAAACAUUUAAGAUUAUUCAAGAAUGGAGAUUUUCCUCUCAUGAAAGGACCUGAACACCUGGAGAGGGCAGUGAAGAGCUA